rnacentral:pre_miRNA from 1 species
CACUGAGUGUCCCAUAGAAGAUUGAUGACUUUCAAACAUUUCACUGAGUGUCCCAUGGAAGAUUGAUUGUUUGAAAGUCAUCAAUCUUCUAUGGGACACUCAGUG